rnacentral:rRNA from 1 species
ACGGGAGGCAGCAGUCGGGAAUAUUGCGCAAUGGAGGAAACUCUGACGCAGUGACGCCGCGUGCAGGAAGAAGGUUUUCGGAUUGUAAACUGCUUUAGACAGGGAAGAAGAAGUGACAGUACCUGUAGAAUAAGCUCCGGCUAACUACGUGCCAGCAGCCGCGGUAAUACGUAGGUGGCGAGCGUUAUCCGGAUUUACUGGGUGUAAAGGGCGCGUAGGCGGGGAUGCAAGUCAGAUGUGAAAUCUAUGGGCUUAACCCAUAAACUGCAUUUGAAACUGUAUUUCUUGAGUGCUGGAGAGGUAGAUGGAAUUCCUUGUGUAGCGGUGAAAUGCGUAGAUAUAAGGAAGAACACCAGUGGCGAAGGCGAUCUACUGGACAGUAACUGACGCUGAGGCGCGAAAGCGUGGGGAGCAAACAGGAUUAGAUACCCUGGUA